GCCGAUGUAGCUUUAAUUGGUAGAGCAAUCCCCUCGUAAGGGAGAGGUUGCCGGUUCGAGUCCGGCCAUCGGCU
rnacentral:tRNA from 1 species